UUCCACAGAGCUACAGACUUUGUAGUGCAGAUAGUUUCACAGCAAUCAAAGACUUUCGGUAUGAAUAAGGGGUUUUCCAUGAAAGAAACUCUGUCUACAUCCUUCACUUUCACCGUGUCAACUGGGGUGGAUGGCAGCAGUGAACUGAUCAGCUCCAGGCACAAUCUACAGCAGAAAUGAACAGAGAUGAGAAAACUGUGAGGCUGUUAUCCUUCAAGCAAGUAGGCGACUGCCAACAACCUGUCAUUAGAUAGGGAAGACUUAGGCUGUGUGAUCCAGAUGUAGCAAAGAAGGUUCUGGACCCACCAGAGUUUUGAACUCAUGGUCAAAUGGAUCACAUCUAUCUAUUCUUCAUUCAUAUUCUGUGAAAACAAACACAUGGAAUUUGGCACUGCUCCUGUUUCUACUUAGCUUGAUCUCUGGAUAAACUUACAUUCUCAUUCCUCUUAAAGCAUGCUAUGAUUUUAUCUCAUAAUAACAAAUUGUUUCCCAAGUGGCAGGCUAAAAGGGACAACCACAUGGUCCACUUUCAGACCCAGGUCACCUGGGCACAGAGUCAGAAUCUAUUUUCAACUCCAGGGUUUAGCCUGGAAUGUGUCUAAACCUUUGAUAAGGAACUAGGCUUCUGAACAUGUGCAAAGUACUUUUUGCAUUCAUU